rnacentral:rRNA from 1 species
GAUGAACGCUGGCGGCGUGCCUAAUACAUGCCAGUCGAGCGAACAGACGAGGAGCUUGCUCCUCUGACGUUAGCGGCGGACGGGUGAGUAACACGUGGAUAACCUACCUAUAAGACUGGGAUAACUUCGGGAAACCGGAGCUAAUACCGGAUAAUAUAUUGAACCGCAGGGUUCAAUAGGGAAAGACGGUUUUGCUGUCACUUAUAGAUGGAUCCGCGCCGCAUUAGCUAGUUGGUAAGGUAACGGCUUACCAAGGCAACGAUGCGUAGCCGACCUGAGAGGGGGAUCGGCCACACUGGAACUGAGCCACGGUCCAGACUCCUACGGGAGGCAGCAGUAGGGAAUCUUCCGCAAUGGGCGAAAGCCUGACGGAGCAACGGCGCGCUGGUGGUGAAGGUGCUCGGAUCGUGAAACCCUGUUAUUAGGGGCGAACAAAUGUGUAAGGAAAUAUGCACGUCUUGACGGUACCUAAUCAGAAAGCCCCGGCUAACUACGUG